CUGACCGGAAGCAAAGGGCAGAGGCAGUUUCCAGCUGGCCGGGGGAUUGCUGUUUGCCAUGCAGUCCCUGCUGCAGAAAUCUCCUUCUGUGCCAGGACGGGUGAGGGGAGAUUGUGCUAUAUGAGGAAACAAGGCUCAGAGAAGUGAAGAACCUGGACGGAUGGGUGUAUGGAUGUGUGCCUGCUAGAGGUUGAUAGACCUCCUACGUAGAACUUUAAACUAGCUUCAUCGGGCGACGGAAAUGUCAAAGACAGGGUGAAACCAGGAAAGACAAGACAUGAACUGUACGCUGGAAUAGACCAGUGCUGUGAUGUCUGCCUGGAGGAAAAGGAGAAGAAGAGGACAACACCUUACCCAGCCUGUCUCUGAAGUCAAAUGUGAAUUUAGCCAUUGAUCUCUGGGGUCACAUCUUUCAUAUGUCAAUGCAGGGGAAGACCCACAGGGAUGCAGUGGUGCAGUUGCAUGCCCGACCCUGAUUCCUGCUCCACCCAAACUCUAAAACCAGCUGCCUAGGAGGAACAGUGGCAUCUCUAUUCAGGCAGUACUAAGUGAGUCAAUGACUUCAUGGCUCAUUAUCAUCUCUCUGAUUCCUGCUAACCUCUUUCCAUUCCAUAGAUGUUAACAAUCCUCUCUCCUUUAUAGUCAUCUCGAUGUUCCACUAUACAAACCAGCCUUUCUUUUGCAAUACUGCUUUCUGUUAGCCAUUCCUCAUAAUGUCUAUUUCACAACCCUGCAGACUGGUUUUAGCUCUAGUUAAAAACCUUAACCUCAGUUAUGGGAUUACGAACUCAAGUGUAGAAAUGACUGCCAGUGAAGUAUUACAGGCACUGUCAAGAUGCUCAAAAAGGCUAGAUCU